GACGAACGCUGGCGGCGUGCCUAAUACAUGCAAGUUGAGCGCUGAAGGUUGGUACUUGUACCAACUGGAUGAGCAGCGAACGGGUGAGUAACGCGUGGGGAAUCUGCCUUUGAGCGGGGGACAACAUUUGGAAACGAAUGCUAAUACCGCUUAAAAACUUUAAACACAAGUUUUAAGUUUGAAAGAUGCAAUUGCAUCACUCAAAGAUGAUCCCGCGUUGUAUUAGCUAGUUGGUGAGGUAAAGGCUCACCAAGGCGAUGAUACAUAGCCGACCUGAGAGGGUGAUCGGCCACAUUGGGACUGAGACACGGCCCAAACUCCUACGGGAGGCAGCAGUAGGGAAUCUUCGGCAAUGGACGAAAGUCUGACCGAGCAACGCCGCGUGAGUGAAGAAGGUUUUCAGAUCGUAAAACUCUGUUGGUAGAGAAGAACGUUGGUGAGAGUGGAAAGCUCAUCAAGUGACGGUAACUACCCAGAAAGGGACGGCUAACUACGUG
rnacentral:rRNA from 1 species